UACAGAGGUCUCAAGCGUUGUUCGGAUUCAUUGGGCGUAAAGGGUGCGUAGGUGGCGCCGUAAGUCAGGUGUGAAAUCCCGGGGCUCAACCCCGGAACUGCACUUGAUACUGCGGUGCUCGAGUACUGGAGAGGAGAUUGGAAUUUACGGUGUAGCAGUGAAAUGCGUAGAUAUUGGGAGGAACACCAGUGGCGAAGGCGGCUCACUGGACCGGAACUGACGCUGAGGCGCGAAAGCGUGGGGAGCGAACAGG
rnacentral:rRNA from 1 species